UGUCACCGUCCCGCCAACGCCGCUGGGAUGUGAGGGAGGGAGAGCAGCAAAGGUUACCACUUUUGGUAUCUGUUUGUGCCUGGAGAUGGUUUAAAAGCACUCCAGAAUAUGCUAUUAAAAAAAAAAAAAAAAAGAAAAAACUAGCCAGACCACACCUGAAGGACCAGACAUAGCAUUAGGCAAAACCAAUUUCUCUUACAAGGCAGAUAUUCAAGUACUGAAAAAAAAAAAAAAACAAUAAAAGAGAACGGCUUUGUUCAUUGUGGACGGUGGAGCAGAAUUCUCACGUGCGCUAAAGCCACAUACCAGCUCAAUUGUGCUUUUAAUGUGUUUUACUUUAUGGCAAAGCAGAAGCCCAACUAGAAACUUCAGUUUCAAAUGGCCCCCAGUAUACACCUAUUAUAUCAUGGUAAAGUGAUUUUCUGAACGUCUGGGAUAAUUAUUUGUCUGUUAGCGACCUUUAGAAGGUAACAGGCUAGUGGUUACACAACGGUGUUCCCCGUUCAGUCUCAGGCAAGUAGUUUUCCCUAUUAAGGGUUUUCACUUUUCAAAUAUGAAUUCCAUCUGUAGUGCUCAUUUCAUUCUAAUUAUUAAUGUUCCAUAAAGCUUAAGGUUGCUUUUGGCUGUGUACAUCGCCCUACUGAAGAAAGUGUGCAUCACAUAUUUAGGGUUUUAUACCUAGCUAAGAAAUUUUUUACAGAUCUGUUCCUUUAGGGGGAAAAAAAAAAAAAAAAAAAAAAAAGAUGUAAUACAGAACUGUGUGUAUAGGUUUUCUGUUAACUCCAUAUGAAGGUCAUGCGCAGUCCAGGGCCAUGGUGGUAAAGUUUAAUUAAUACAUGUAUGUUACUGACUUUCUAAUGACUCUUUUUGAUCUAUACUAGUUAUUCCCAUGGUUUCUUCUUGUGCUUCACUGCCUUUCUCCUCUUUCUCAUCUCUGCCUCUUCAGGAUUCCUCUUCUCACCAGUCCCUCUUACCCACUCCCUUGCUGCAAUGCUGCAUCUCCUUCCUCCCUCCAACCCCCCGGACUCUGCUGAUUCUCCGUGCUUCGUCAGCAGUGUCGGUGCACUUCACUAGUAAGACACCCUUGUCCCACAGUUUGUCACAAAAGCUCGGAUAGCUGUUACUAGUUACGGCAUCUAUUCUUUUCCGUGGGCAUUUUAUCUGAAAUAAAGCUUGAAAUUAUACGAUCUGGGGAUGCACACGGUACAGAUGAGCGGCUUGAGUGUUGGUGUUCAUUUCGGUAGCUGCUGUAUCAGACCACAUCUGAUGGGGAAAUCCAUCAACGCAACUGGUUUUGAAUAGGCUGUUUUAAGAGAACUGCUCUAAAUGAGCGGCGCCCUGUGUGAUCAUCGUCUUAAGACCUUCUUUACAUGAGUUUAUAAAGUGCCUCAUCCAUUCAGGAUGGUUGUAAACAGAAAUAGAAACACAUUACUUCCUUCAACAAUAGCUGUAGCAGUUUUGAUUUAGUAUUUCAGAGUUGUCACUAUGGGAUGCUUGAGGCCAUUCCCAUUGAAGCCAGAGGCAGAGUUUUUAUUGAUCUCAACAAGAAUGACGUAGGUACCGGGUUCCUUAGGCUAUUUGAAACUAUACAAAUAUUUGGAUGGAAAAUAAGGGCAAGAACGUGAAUAACAUUUUCAUUUGGAGUCGUGGCUAGGCAGAUGGUGUGCUGAAUUCUGUGAUAUACUUCAUUGUGACAUUUACGUAGGAAUAGAUACUUUAUUUAUACAUGAAAACUUUUGAAGGCCACUGCAGUCUUGCGUUUAGACUACAGUUUGGAGUGCUGACAGGGAACUGAAGUUCCCCUCUCCCUGCUGCCGAUAUCCAUGGGAGAAGGCACAAAUGGAGCUUUCCCUACUGGAGACACUUACAUUUCCGUUCUCCCCUGAAAAAAAAUGUUUAAAAAGCAGCCUCUCAACAUGAGCCUUUAAUGUUAUUUUCAAAGGCUGAGGUUUGAAACUGAAAAGAGGUUUGGUUUCCAGUGUAUUGCCACCAGGGCUGAAAUUACAUUGCCACAGCUAAGGAAGGUCAUUUUUAUUUAGUCAGUUCUCCCAUCAUCAGAGGUAGUGCACUGGGGUGGGACCAUUACUGAGCCGUUAGAGCUCUGUCAUUUAACUUUGCUGUCCUGUCAUAAGAAGGGUGAGGGCAUGUCAGUUUGUCCUUUGCGAUGUAGCACAGACACAAUGCCAACUCUCAAAAGUCUGCGAAACAAAGGUUUUUGCAGCAGUUUUCAUUCAGUCUACUUUUUUUUUUUUUUUUUUUCCCCCCGCAGCUCUGAUGUUUCCAGUCUCACAGAAAAUCAAAAUGCAGUUUGACUGGAAGUACUUAUCCAUCUUCAUUUGCCUUUUGUUCAUAAAGCUCCCAUCAUCAUUAAAAUUCAGGAGGACUUACUAGUGAGGCAGAAACUUUGGAUUUCAAAGAAGUGAAGCUGGUUUGGAGCAGAGGACCGUCAGGGAUGUCCAAGUCUGGACUGUGUUACCUCUGCAUCCGUCUCUGUUGCAAUGUCAGCAAGCACAAGCCGGGAUGGCGUGCAGAUUGUUUUAAUUUGCACCGGGGACUGUCUUUGGCUCUAUGAAUAAGGAAGCACCUUUAAAUAUUUCCUGCCUCUGCUGACCUGAGUGCUCCUGAUUUCCAGCUCUGCACCGCAUGUCUGCGCUUGGCCAGCAGGAUCAGAGCUG